rnacentral:lncRNA from 1 species
GGAAGAACGCUUGUCAUGUCCAAGCCGGUUCUCCUGUGCAGCUUUCUCGGCUCCCGCUCAUGUCGCGUUCGCAUCGUCUUACAAGUGAAGAAGAUUGACUUCGAAUAUCGUCCAGUGGAGUUGAAACCGAAUGGCGAGCAGGUAAC